GCUUGCACCUUUCAAGCGAGUGGCGAACGGGUGAGUAACACGUGGAUAACCUGCCUCAAGGCUGGGGAUAACAUUUGGAAACAGAUGCUAAUACCGAAUAAAACUUAGUAUCGCAUGAUAUCAAGUUAAAAGGCGCUACGGCGUCACCUAGAGAUGGAUCCGCGGUGCAUUAGUUAGUUGGUGGGGUAAAGGCUUACCAAGACGAUGAUGCAUAGCCGAGUUGAGAGACUGAUCGGCCACAUUGGGACUGAGACACGGCCCAAACUCCUACGGGAGGCUGCAGUAGGGAAUCUUCCACAAUGGGCGCAAGCCUGAUGGAGCAACGCCGCGUGUGUGAUGAAGGCUUUCGGGUCGUAAAGCACUGUUGUAUGGGAAGAAAUGCUAAAAUAGGGAAUGAUUUUAGUUUGACGGUACCAUACCAGAAAGGGACGGCUAAAUACGUGCCAGCAGCCGCGGUAAUACGUAUGUCCCGAGCGUUAUCCGGAUUUAUUGGGCGUAAAGCGAGCGCAGACGGUUGAUUAAGUCUGAUGUGAAAGCCCGGAGCUCAACUCCGGAAUGGCAUUGGAAACUGGUUAACUUGAGUGUUGUAGAGGUAAGUG
rnacentral:rRNA from 1 species